UACGUAGGGUGCAAGCGUUGUCCGGAUUUAUUGGGCGUAAAGAGCGUGUAGGCGGUUAGGUAGGUCCGUUGUGAAAACUCGAGGCUCAACCUCGAGACGCCGAUGGAAACCAUCUGACUAGAGUCCGGAAGAGGAGAGUGGAAUUCCUGGUGUAGCGGUGAAUGACGCAGAUAUCAGGAAGAACACCCGUGGCUAAGGCGGCUCUCUAGUACGGUACUGACGCUGAGACGCGAAAGCGUGGGGAGCGAACAGG
rnacentral:rRNA from 1 species